rnacentral:sRNA from 1 species
GACAGUGCCCUGCAGACUGGUUGGAGGUCUCAGACAGGCCACACACUGAAUCCGUCAAGGUGUUCAACCUGUUUGAAAUGCUCGUUCCUCGGUGCUGUAAAGAAAUAGAACUUAAACUUAAAUUUAAUUUAUUUAGUAAGGCCAUUUUUACUUCCUGCAGAAAGGGUACACUCGCCAGCAGUUUUGCCAGGAGAGUACACUGAACAAAGGAGACAGGGUCAUUUAUAACGUGGCGCGUCCACCCUACUGCUGUGUCCGGUUUCCUUUGGCUGGAACGGGACCUCACAUUCUGUAUUUGUCCCGAUUGACUAGCAACAUAGAACUUUUUAAAAGAGGCAAAGGCAGAGGAGAACAAAGGAAGAAGGAAGUAACUUGUGGAAUGCUGAGAAAGGCAGCUUGGAUUAAUUAGGAGAAAGUCAAUUGCGCCAGCAAAUGGAAAUCUAGGAAGAAGCAAAUCCAUUGUUUGACUACUUAAUUGUCAUUGAUUUUGAAUCAACAUGCUGGAAUGAUGGGAAGCACCACCAUAGCCAGGAAAUAAGUAAGUCU